CCUACGGGUGACAGCAGUGAGGAAUAUUGGUCAAUGGGCUUACGCCUGAACCAGCCAAGUCGCGUGAGGGAAGACUGCCCUAUGGGUUGUAAACCUCUUUUGUCAGGGAGCAAUUGGCGCUACGUGUAGCGUUAUCGAGAGUACCUGCAGACAAAGCAUCGGCUAACUCCGUGCCAGCAGCCGCGGUAAUACGGAGGAUGCGAGCGUUAUCCGGAUUUAUUGGGUUUAAAGGGUGCGUAGGCGGAAUGCCAAGUCAGCGGUAAAAUCGCGGGGCUCAACCUCGCUCCGCCGUUGAAACUGGCGGUCUUGAGUGGGCGAGAAGUAUGCGGAAUGCGUGGUGUAGCGGUGAAAUGCAUAGAUAUCACGCAGAACUCCGAUUGCGAAGGCAGCAUACCGGCGCCCAACUGACGCUGAAGCACGAAAGCGUGGGUAUCGAACAGGAUUAGAUACCCCGGUAGUC
rnacentral:rRNA from 1 species